GCUCCCCCUGUGGACCCCUGUUUGAAAAGACUAGGAAGGCUCCGCACACUUCCUCGCCUCCACAGGUGAAAGAGAGACAAAGUCAACAUGAAGAAGAGCUCAUCAUCGAAGAUAUUGAAGACCUGGAGGAAGAACAGUGGAAGCUUGCGGAGAUGAAGAUGUAGCUCAGCGUUGUCUCACUGCCCUCUCAGCAGCCGCCGCCCCAGGCCAAGGCAAUUUGCUGGGCCUAGCAGUGGAAGCAGCACGUGCAAGGUAUUGGCGGAAAUACUGUGCAUUUAACCAAAGGGUGGUUCAGAGCAUCUCUCCAGGGCUCUGCACUAACUCCCU